AUUGAACGCUGGCGGCACGCCUUACACAUGCAAGUCGAACGGUAACGGGCCUUCGGGUGCCGACGAGUGGCGAACGGGUGAGUAAUGUAUCGGAACGUACCUUUCAGUGGGGGAUAACGUAGCGAAAGUUACGCUAAUACCGCAUAUUCUGUGUGCAGGAAAGCAGGGGAUCGCUAGACCUUGCGCUGAUUGAGCGGCCGAUAUCAGAUUAGCUAGUUGGUGAGGUAAAGGCUCACCAAGGCGACGAUCUGUAGCGAGUCUGAGAGGAUGAUCCGCCACACUGGAACUGAGACACGGUCCAGACUCCUACGGGAGGCAGCAGUGGGGAAGUUUGGACAAUGAGGGCAACCCUGAUCCAGCCAGGCCGCGUGAGUGAAGAAGUCCUUCGGGGUGUAAAGCUCUUUCGGCCGGGAAGAAAUCGUAUCAGCUAAGACCUGAUGCGGAUGACGGUACCGGCAUAAGAAGCACCGGCUAACUACGUGCCAGCCGCCGCGGUAACAC
rnacentral:rRNA from 1 species